rnacentral:pre_miRNA from 1 species
AAGCUACUCCCUCCGUUCCAAAUAACUUGUCACGGAUAUGGAUGUAUCUAGAUGCAUUUUAGUUCAAGAUACAUCCAUUUCUGCGACGAGUAAUUUAGAGCGGAGGGGAGUAGCUA